GGAUGUAUAGUUCAGUAGCAGAAUGCCUGCCUGGCAUGCAUGAGGACCUGAGUUUAAUCCCCAGCAUCUG
rnacentral:tRNA from 1 species